rnacentral:lncRNA from 1 species
AGUGAAGAAAAUGGCAAUAGGAAAGGCUCUUACCAGGGAUAUGAAAGUCACAUUCCAAGCCAGUUCUGUCUGUUGCUGUUCCACUUCUGUGUCUCCAUCCUCUUUUCCUUACAGCGACCCUGAUGCCUAGCAAAGUCCCAAGAACAACGUAGGUGGGUGCUUGCUGAAUAAAUAGAUGUCUGCUCCGAAUAAUGAAUCAAAGGCGUUAUAGCAUUUGGCACUUACUAAAAGAACUAAGGCAUGCUCCUUAGUUUUAAGAAGACCUUUAACACUGAAAUAGAGAAUGUUUGCUUGUGGACCUUGAGCAAAACCAGAGUUUUUUUUCAUCUUCUGAGCUGUGUCUCCCUGUAGCUUGGUCCCACGUUUUUGCCGUUGCUCUCCUUGGGGCUGGCUGUAGAUGGUCUCUGGCAGGGAGGGUACCCUAUGUCUGUCCUUUUUCGUCCUGACCCCACACUGGGACCCCUGACCUUUGCCUAGCUUUCUUGCUUAUGUGCUGCUUUGGAAGCUCCUGACUUUGGACUCGGUGUUCUCCUGGGACAAUUCUGAUUUUUUUUCUGUUCUGUGCACACUUCAUUCCUCAAGAAGGAGGCGCCUGUCCUCUUGCUCUGACCUGAAGCCUUGUAAGGUCAUCGGAAUGACUCUCCCUUACUCAUGCUCCCAUCAAGAUAGAAGAACCGGACAUCCUGAUUCUGAAAUAUCUUUGCCCAGAGUAUCAUCCAAGCCUGAGCAGAAGAGCUGGCAGGGCACAGAGUCACACUGACGUGCAGGAUGGCCUGGAUCCUGCCAUGUAAAUCAAAGAAGAGAGGGCCUGACUCAGCUGCCUAGCCUGCGUCACCUGGAACCCAUUAUGAUACAGGAUCAUAAACACCUCCAUUUUCCCUCCAGAGAGAGACCAGACCCACUGAAGUUAAGCUACCUGCAUAAGAGUUGAGUGCGAUCAGCUGUACUUAAUCUUUAAAUGUCCAACCCACUGAUAACCUUUGGUUUGCUUUGAUAACUGUGAAAUAAAUUCUCACUGCAUCGGAUGCCGGCAUUCUGGUUUCUAUUCAAGGCUGUGGUGCAGAUGUCAUGGAAUCUUGGACUGGACAACAGUCCUUGGAGAUCUCUGGGGCCAGUUACUGGCUUUUAGGCAUUUAAUUUCUAAGCCUCCCUCUGCCAACUCUAAAUUUCUUCGGGGAAUGCCAUGGCAUUUGUGCAUCACCAAGCUUUAGGU